rnacentral:rRNA from 1 species
AUUGAACGCUGGCGGCAGGCUUAACACAUGCAAGUCGAGCGGAGAUGAGGUGCUUGCACCUUAUCUUAGCGGCGGACGGGUGAGUAAUGCUUAGGAAUCUGCCUAUUAGUGGGGGACAACAUUCCGAAAGGAAUGCUAAUACCGCAUACGCCCUACGGGGGAAAGCAGGGGAUCUUCGGACCUUGCGCUAAUAGAUGAGCCUAAGUCGGAUUAGCUAGUCGGUGGGGUAAAGGCCUACCAAGGCGACGAUCUGUAGCGGGUCUGAGAGGAUGAUCCGCCACACUGGGACUGAGACACGGCCCAGACUCCUACGGGAGCCAGCAGUGGGGAAUAUUGGACAAUGGGCGGAAGCCUGAUCCAGCCAUGCCGCGUGUGUGAAGAAGGCCUUUUGGUUGUAAAGCACUUUAAGCGAGGAGGAGGCUACCUGGAAUAAUACUCUAGGAUAGUGGACGUUACUCGCAGAAUAAGCACCGGCUAACUCUGUGCCAGCCGCCGCGGUAAUAC